ensembl:rRNA 5S_rRNA 5S ribosomal RNA
GGCCACACCACUCCGAAUGUGUCUAGUCUUGUCUGAUCUUGGAAGCUAAGCAGGGUUGCAACUGGUUAGUACCUGAAUGGGAAACAUGGACACAGCCAGGCUGGGCA